rnacentral:rRNA from 1 species
UACGUAGGGUGCGAGCGUUAAUCGGAAUUACUGGGCGUAAAGCGUGCGCAGGCGGUUUUGUAAGCCAGAUGUGAAAGCCCCGGGCUUAACCUGGGAAUGGCAUUUGGGACUGCAAGGCUUGAGUGCGGCAGAGGAGACUGGAAUUCCUGGUGUAGCAGUGAAAUGCGUAGAUAUCAGGAGGAAUACCGGUGGCGAAAGCGACUCUCUGGACGGCAACUGACGCUGAGGCACGAAAGCGUGGGGAGCAAACAGG